rnacentral:rRNA from 1 species
UACGUAGGCAGCGAGCGUUGUUCGGAGUUACUGGGUGUAAAGGGCUCGCAGGCGGUGCGGCGCGUUUCGCGUGACAGCGGAGGGCUUAACUCUCCGAGGAUGCGAAAGACGGCGGCACUUGAGGGCCAGAGAGGGACACGGAAUUCCGGGUGGAGUGGUGAAAUGCGUAGAGAUCCGGAGGAACACCGAAGGCGAAGGCAGUGUCCUGGCUGGUGACUGACGCUGAGGUGCGAAAGCUAGGGGAGCGAACGGG